AUGUAGGGUUGUCAGAAUAAAGGUUAAUGUGUGCAAUCACACCAGAGGUGUUAAACAUUUUUUGUUAUAUAGUAGAAAAAAGCUAGGUUUCGAAAAUAACGUGAAAUGCAAGGAACGACAGAAAUGAAAGUCGAGAAUAGAUCGAAAGUAAAAA